rnacentral:lncRNA from 1 species
AUUUUUAAGUAAUUGAUUGAUGAUUUUUUUUUUUUUUUUUUAUAUUGCAAGUCUGUUCUUAAGUGAUUUUUGAUAGAAUUGAUUGAUAAUUUGAUUUCUAAUUGAUUGAUAGUUUGUAAGUUUGUUCCAGUUUUUGAUUUGUUCUUAAGUCUCUUUCAUAUUGGUAUGUAGUAAAGGUGUUUGAUAGAAUUCCUGAAAGAGACCAAGUUUCUUGGAAUUCCAUGAUUGCCGCAUAUUUGCGAUAAGUGAUUUUAAAGAUAAGUGAUUUUAAAAGUUAAUGAAAUAUUAUUAAAAGUUGAACACGUGAUGGUUCGAGAUUAGUUAGCCCAAUGUACAUAUCUUCAAAUUCAUUGACUGUCCAACACUUGAGAUAGGUAGUCAUUCUUCAAUUCCUGUAUCUGCAGCCUUGAUAAGCAGUUUAGAGUAGUAGUUGGUUUUAGAUGGUGAUUGGUUACUUACUAAGAGUAGAAAUUUACAAAUAAUGGUUAAUUUACUAAUAUUGGAACUCACUUCAGUCAUUAGCAUAUCGAAAUUAAAGGGUGUGUGGUUCUGGUGUGGAGCCUGGCGUACGAGGAAAAAUUACUAUUUCCAAGACCUGCUGCUGCGCUGGGAAGACCUGGUGACAGGGGUGCUUAGAUGUUAGUUUAAGUUGUUGUAUUCAUCACCUGAUGCUGCAUUGCAAAAUGCAGGUUGAUCGGGAUUGUUAUUCUUUUACCCCUAUUUGAAUAAAAUAUUACUUAUAAAAAAAAAAAAAAAAUCAUCCAUCGUUAUUAUCAGGAUAAAAUUAAAAUGAGGGUAGCUAGAUAUAAGACACAAAGGGUACAUAAGUUGGGGAGACAGUUUUGACGGAUAGACAAUUUUGAGAGAUAUUUUGGACCGUAGGAUGUGUGAUAUUUGAUCUGACAGUAGAGAGAUAAAAUAACACCCUAAUUAAUUAAACAUUAAUUAGGGUACAUAAGUUUGUAUAUAGACAAACGAGAGACAACUAAGACCGUAGGAUAUAGAUAUAUGAUCUGACGGUUGGGAUAUGAUUAAAAUUUCUAGACCUUUGUUCCUCUUUCGUAAACCUUAAUUUCUCUUUUUCUCUAAACCUCAUUCUCUAAUCGUCUCACAUCACUAUCUACGAAGGUAUGUAUUCAAAUCUUUCUUCUCUCUGCUCUCUGCUCUCAUCACUAUCAAACAUGAUCAAUACCUAUGCUGUCAGGGGCGCCGCCUGAGCGCCGCUCAGCGCCGCCUAGGCGCUAUUUCUGAAGGGGGACGCUCCGCUGGGCAAAAACAGCGCCUAAAACGCCUUGGGCCGCCUGGGCGGCGCUCAGGUCCAGCGCUCUGUUCAGAGCGGCCCAUACAUAAAAAGCCCAUAUAAAACUCUAAGCCCAAAAAAAAAAGAAAAAGAAAAAACCUCACGUUCUCUCUCGUUCUCUCUCUACGGCUGCUGCUUCUUCCACUGCUCCGCUGCCCUCACGUUCUCUCUCUGGUCUCUCUCGUUCUCUCUCUACGGCUGCUGCUUCUUCCACUGCUCCGCUGCUACUUCUUUCUCCGGCUCUGCUGCUGUUGCUACUUCGUAAUUUUAUUCUAAUCUUCCUUUUUUUUUUCAAUUUAAAUUCAAUUGAAGUUAAAUAUUAUUAUGUUGUUUACUCUACAGAAAAUAUUAAAAACAAGAAAUAUUGUUAAGUCUUAAGAGUAGUGUAAACUGUAUGUCUGAUCGGAGCGCCGCCUGAGCGCCUCCUGAGCGGUGGAGGCGGUUCUCGGAAAUCCUAGCGCCUGGCGCUCCGCCCCGCCUUUGACAGCAUAAAUCAAUACCACUGUAACAUAAUUCAUAUCUCAAUUACUUCAAUACCUAUCAUCAAUUGUAAAUUCUCUUGUUUUUACUAUUGUAUAUGAACAGAUCGCGUUUUAUAUGGCGCUAUUGCUCAAGCUCAACACCUCAAUCAUGAGGAAGGGAGAAGAUUGUAUAACAACUGUUGCAUACCAUCAAUUUACAGCUUCCAUUUGAUGAUUUGUUGUUAUGGGAGAAGGUUACGAUGAUUAAUCGGUGGAAUAAGAGUUUGAGAGUAGAGCCGUAUGAGUUAGAAGAAACGAAGGUUGUGGAUUGGAGAGACAAAGGUUGCGAAUUACAGCUUCCAUUUCAGACUAAUGUAAGCCCCUGAAUCAUUUUCUUCGCAAAUGCUCUAUUUUAAUAUGGCUUUUCUUGAUAAGAUUAGACAAACGUAACUCUGAAAAAUGAAAUUUACGUUUUAAGCAAACAGACCUUUAAAUUAAAUUUUGGUUGAUUGGUUUGUUUUUACAAAUUCAUGAAUUUUGUAAUAAAAUUUAAUUGAACAUUUUAAUUUCUUUACAACAAUUUCUUUUAACCUUAAUAUUUAUCGAUUAGUUGUAGCCAUCGUGUGAAACAAUUAGAUGUUAUAAGUAAUUAGUACAGGAAUUCAAAAAGGGUUUUACUAUUAAAAAUUAAUGUGCUUGAUUUUCUUCUAAAUACUGUUUGUUCAA